rnacentral:rRNA from 1 species
UACGUAGGUGGCAAGCGUUGUCCGGAAUUAUUGGGCGUAAAGCACGCGCAGGUGGUUCCUUAAGUCUGGAUGUGAAAGCCCACGGCUCAACCGUGGAGGGUCAUUGGAAACUGGGGAACUUGAGUGCAGAAGAGGAAAGUGGAAUUCCACGUGUAGCGGUGAAAUGCGUAGAGAUGUGGAGGAACACCAGUGGCGAAGGCGACUUUCUGGUCUGUAACUGACACUGAGGCGCGAAAGCGUGGGGAGCGAACAGG